AGCAUAGCCAGCAGCGCGAUGUGAGUGUGGGAGCGCGUCAUCAGGGAUAAGGGGACCUUGGUCUGGAUCCAGCAGACAUAACGCCGACGCCAGUGACACCCUGGAUGAGGUGGGACCAGAUUUUAUUAGGACUGGGUCUAUCAGUUAUAAAGACUGCAGACGCUGCACAAGGAUGAGCUCCGAGGCCUCGCAAUCAGCCGAUCUGCAGGGAUCACAUGACGUUUAUGGCUCAGGGAUAGAGAUGUCGGUCUAUCAGUUAUAAAGACUGCAGACGCUGCACAGGGAUGAGCUCCGAGGCCUCGCAAUCAGCCGAUCUGCAGGGAUCACAUGACGUUUAUGGCUCAGGGACAGAGAUGCCGGAUGAACAUCUAAUCUGCUGUACCUGAGUUACGUCCAUACGGUUCCUUAGUCUGCUGUAUCCAGGGUGCAUCCGGAAGAUUGUUUUUCUUCGGUUCCUGUGUUCGGUUCCUGUUUCCUAC